AACGACGAGAGCGAUCGUCGUGGUGUAUCGGUUCGAUCACCUUAACGCGCGUGUAUAUAAACGGUAUAUACGGAGCGUGGCGGUCGACAGUAGUGCGCGGUGAACCGAGGCCGACCGAUCAUUGUUG